rnacentral:rRNA from 1 species
UUGUCUCAAAGAUUAAGCCAUGCAUGUCUAAGUACAAGCCUCACUAAGGUGAAACCGCGAAUGGCUCAUUAAAUCACACCUAAUCUACUGGAUAGUCAACAGUUACUUGGGUAACUGCGGUAAUUCUGGAGCUAAUACAUGCACAAAGCCCCGAACGUAAGUGAGGGGUGCUUUUAUUAGAUCAAAACCAAACGGCUUCGGCUGUUCUCUUGGUGACUCUGAAUAACUUUGGGCUGAUGGCAUAGCCUUGCGCUGGCCACAUAUCCUUCGAAGGUGUGCCCUAUCAACUGUCGACUGUGGCAUAGACGCCCACAGUGGUUUUGACGGGUAACGGGGAAUCAGGGUUCGAUUCCGGAGAGGGAGCCUUAAAAACGGCUACCACAUCUAAGGAAGGCAGCAGGCACGCAAAUUACCCAAUGACCGAAGGUCGAGGUAGUGACGAAAAAUAACGAUACAGGACUCAUCCGAGGCCCUGUAAUCGGAAUGAGUACACUUUAAAACCGUCCCCGAGGACCCAUUGGAGGGCAAGUCUGGUGCCAGCAGCCGCGGUAAUUCCAGCUCCAAUAGCGUAUAUUAAAGUUGUUGUGGUUAAAAAGCUCGUAGUUGGAUCUCGGCGGUACAGCAGCCGGUUCACUUGCUAGUGUUACUGCUGCUUGGACCGUAGUUUUGCCAGAGGUCUCUGGGUGCUCUUAACCGAGUGUCCAGUGAUGCUGGCAGGUUUACUUUGAAAAAAUUAGAGUGCUCAAAGCAGGCUUUUACGCCUGAAUAUUCGUGCAUGGAAUAAUAGAAUAGGAAGUCGUUUCUAUUUUGUUGGUUUUCGGAAAUCGACUUAAUGAUUAAUAGGGACAGUCGGGGGCAUUUGUAUUCAAACGACAGAGGUGAAAUUCUUGGACCGUUUGAAGACAAACUACUGCGAAAGCAUUUGCCAAGAAUGUUUUCAUUAAUCAAGAACGAAAGUUAGAGGUUCGAAGGCGAUUAGAUACCGCCCUAGUUCUAACCAUAAACGAUGCCAGCUAGCGAUCUGCCGACGUUUUUUUUGUAGACUCGGCAGGAAGCUUCCGGGAAACCAAAGCAUUUGGGUUCCAGGGGAAGUAUGGUUGCAAAGCUGAAACUUAAAGGAAUUGACGGAAGGGCACCACCAGGAGUGGAGCCUGUGGCUUAAUUUGACUCAACACGGGAAAUCUCACCAGGCCCGGACACUGGAAGGAUUGACAGAUUGAUAGCUCUUUCUUGAUUCGGUGGGUGGUGGUGCAUGGCCGUUCUUAGUUGGUGGAGUGAUUUGUCUGGUUAAUUCCGAUAACGAACGAGACUCUGUCCUGCUAAAUAGUGUCGGCCUCUGUUUUGGGCAGACAAUUCUUCUUAGAGGGACUGGCAACUCUCAGUUGCACGAGAUUGAGCAAUAACAGGUCUGUGAUGCCCUUAGAUGUUCUGGGCCGCACACGCGCUACACUGAAUAGAUCAACGUGUUGUCCCUUUCCGAGAGGAACGGGUAAACCGCUGAACCCUAUUCGUGGUAGGGAUCGGGGCUUGCAAUUGUUCCCCGUAAACCAGGAAUUCCCAGUAGGCGCAAGUCAUAAGCUUGUGUCGAUUACGUCCCUGCCCUUUGUACACACCGCCCGUCGCUACUACCGAUUGAACGUUUUAGUGAGGUCCUCGGACUGUUUGGUAGGCGGA